rnacentral:rRNA from 1 species
CAUGGUUAAGUGGGAAACGAUGUGGGAAGGCCCAGACAGCCAGGAUGUUGGCUUAGAAGCAGCCAUCAUUUAAAGAAAGCGUAAUAGCUCACUGGUCGAGUCGGCCUGCGCGGAAGAUGUAACGGGGCUAAACCAUGCACCGAAGCUGCGGCAGCGACACUGUGUGUUGUUGGGUAGGGGAGCGUUCUGUAAGCCUGUGAAGGUGUGCUGUGAGGCAUGCUGGAGGUAUCAGAAGUGCGAAUGCUGACAUAAGUAACGAUAAAGCGGGUGAAAAGCCCGCUCGCCGGAAGACCAAGGGUUCCUGUCCAACGUUAAUCGGGGCAGGGUGAGUCGACCCCUAAGGCGAGGCCGAAAGGCGUAGUCGAUGGGAAACAGGUUAAUAUUCCUGUACUUGGUGUUACUGCGAAGGGGGGACGGAGAAGGCUAUGUUGGCCGGGCGACGGUUGUCCCGGUUUAAGCGUGUAGGCUGGUUUUCCAGGCAAAUCCGGAAAAUCAAGGCUGAGGCGUGAUGACGAGGCACUACGGUGCUGAAGCAACAAAUGCCCUGCUUCCAGGAAAAGCCUCUAAGCAUCAGGUAACAUCAAAUCGUACCCCAAACCGACACAGGUGGUCAGGUAGAGAAUACCAAGGCGCUUGAGAGAACUCGGGUGAAGGAACUAGGCAAAAUGGUGCCGUAACUUCGGGAGAAGGCACGCUGAUAUGUAGGUGAAGUCCCUCGCGGAUGGAGCUGAAAUCAGUCGAAGAUACCAGCUGGCUGCAACUGUUUAUUAAAAACACAGCACUGUGCAAACACGAAAGUGGACGUAUACGGUGUGACGCCUGCCCGGUGCCGGAAGGUUAAUUGAUGGGGUCAGCGCAAGCGAAGCUCUUGAUCGAAGCCCCGGUAAACGGCGGCCGUAACUAUAACGGUCCUAAGGUAGCGAAAUUCCUUGUCGGGUAAGUUCCGACCUGCACGAAUGGCGUAAUGAUGGCCAGGCUGUCUCCACCCGAGACUCAGUGAAAUUGAACUCGCUGUGAAGAUGCAGUGUACCCGCGGCAAGACGGAAAGACCCCGUGAACCUUUACUAUAGCUUGACACUGAACAUUGAGCCUUGAUGUGUAGGAUAGGUGGGAGGCUUUGAAGUGUGGACGCCAGUCUGCAUGGAGCCGACCUUGAAAUACCACCCUUUAAUGUUUGAUGUUCUAACGUGGACCCGUGAUCCGGGUUGCGGACAGUGUCUGGUGGGUAGUUUGACUGGGGCGGUCUCCUCCUAAAGAGUAACGGAGGAGCACGAAGGUUGGCUAAUCCUGGUCGGACAUCAGGAGGUUAGUGCAAUGGCAUAAGCCAGCUUGACUGCGAGCGUGACGGCGCGAGCAGGUGCGAAAGCAGGUCAUAGUGAUCCGGUGGUUCUGAAUGGAAGGGCCAUCGCUCAACGGAUAAAAGGUACUCCGGGGAUAACAGGCUGAUACCGCCCAAGAGUUCAUAUCGACGGCGGUGUUUGGCACCUCGAUGUCGGCUCAUCACAUCCUGGGGCUGAAGUAGGUCCCAAGGGUAUGGCUGUUCGCCAUUUAAAGUGGUACGCGAGCUGGGUUUAGAACGUCGUGAGACAGUUCGGUCCCUAUCUGCCGUGGGCGCUGGAGAACUGAGGGGGGCUGCUCCUAGUACGAGAGGACCGGAGUGGACGCAUCACUGGUGUUCGGGUUGUCAUGCCAAUGGCACUGCCCGGUAGCUAAAUGCGGAAGAGAUAAGUGCUGAAAGCAUCUAAGCACGAAACUUGCCCCGAGAUGAGUUCUCCCUGACCCUUUAAGGGUCCUGAAGGAACGUUGAAGACGACGACGUUGAUAGGCCGGGUGUGUAAGCGCAGCGAUGCGUUGAGCUAACCGGUACUAAUGAACCGUGAGGCUUAACCUUACAACGCCGAAGGUGUUU